rnacentral:lncRNA from 1 species
CUCAUUCAUAGGCAACUCGAUUUUGUGUAGUUGGGCAGCAAAAGAGGAGGAGGAGCCUGUAGAAAUGGAGACAUCGUUCCCCUCUGUUUUCGCUAGUCGACUAGUUAAGCGGCAGAGGAAAACGUAGGAUCCUCUCAAUGGUAGUGGAAGAUGGCCUGCCUGAGGAUGCUUUAUUUGCCUGUCUUUUUUUUUUGAGCGUUUUGCCUGUCUUUUUUGACAUGUGCUUUCUGCCUAUCUUGGUGACAUACAACCUGCACUUCAUUGAAAUUAAGUGGUGGCUGAAAAACAUACUCUCUCCGUCCUUUUUUUUUCCUAGGCGUCAUGAUUAUUGAUUAUAUGAUUGCACAGCUGUUGUAUGUGCCUGCUACUAGGGAACUAAAUGCAAAAUAAAUGACGCCCACAAUAAACGGACAGAGGGAGUAUUAUUGUGAUCAGAGGCAGAUCAAAUAGGGUGGAAGGAUGGAAUGUGGCCCAUUGUUUUAACUGAGCCCAAUAUAAUAUAGUACAUAUAUAUAAAAACAGGAAGAAAAGUAAAUUGGUAUGGGCCUGGCCCGAACAAGCCUCACACAGGAACAACACGAUCCAUCAGCAACAUCACGUUCUGUAUGGAUAAAAGAGGAGGAUACUCCAUAUAAAAAUGAUCCAAGAGAUAAUACCUGAAUAUCAACUUUAUCAUAUCAAUUGAAAAAAACAACAAGGUUCUUAAUUUCUGAUAUGUAUAUCAUGUAAUGAGCUAUCAAACUGAAAGCAAGUCCUAUUUUUCUCAAAUUAAUAUGUAGGUGUAGAAAAAAAACUAGUUGGAAUCCGGAAAACCGGAGCAGGUAUUUAGUAGCAAAACAUAAUCCACUAGUAAGAUAAAAAAAAGAAAAGGAAAAAGGUUGUUGGAGGAGGACUUUGCUCUUUCGCUUGGAGUCCAUAUAUAUGGGACUUGCAUGCGCUGUGACCAGUUCCACCCACACGCGAGCGCGAGAAGGAAUAACAAAGAGAAGUUCAAAUUCAACUCUGUUUCCGCACGUGUAUGUGCACGCCAUCUUUCUUGUUA